UAUCAAUGGCCUACUUGCUCUGACUUCUAAACAACAAACACUCCUAUGCAUAUAUUUAUAUACUUCGUUCCUCUUUAACUUUCUGCAUACAGGUAUUAUUUCAAUGAAAAAAUAAAUACUCUCAAACUAGACAAACACUGCUUCUGUGAAAAGAGACCUUGAGAACAUUUUCCAAAGGUGACAUUACAUGAUCUCUCUCUCUCCAUUAACAACAUGCAGUUAAAACCUUCAAAACGGCCACAAAUGCCAGGAAACAGAAUCUCUGAUGAACUUAUAAGGUGACCACACACACACCAUCAUCAUUUAACAUCCAUCUUCUUAGAUGGCAUGGGUUGGACAGUAUGACAGGAGCUGGCAAGCCAGAGGACUGCACCAAGCUCCACUGUCUGUUUUGGCAUGGUUUUUUUUAUGGAUAGAUGCCCUUCCUAAUGCCAACCACAAUACAGAGUGGACUGGGUGCAAUUUUUUGUGGCACCAAUACAUACAUAUAUAUAUAUACACACAUAUAUAUAUAUAUAGCACACCAAUGAAUGUUGUAAACUGUGACACUGUAUGUCUGUGAUGAGUAUAUGCUUGCAUCUGUAAAAUCGGACAGCUUGGACAUGUUACCCAAGUCUAAGCACAUUAUCCAUUUACAUUUCAGAAUACAGCAGACACAUCUUCCAUGAAGGUACAAGGUCAGAGUUCAGUGUUUAUAUGUUGAUAUAUUGAAGAAGUGAAGAAAUCCUUGCUUAUUGAUGAAAUCUCUAAAAAUCUUAUAUAAAACAAGAAUUUAAGCUUUGAGACUGAAACAAAUGCACCCCUUCAUACUAAGAUACCUGACAUAACACAGAAUGAUCUCUAAUUAUUGUUGUUGCUGUUUUUCUCUCCCCAAGAUAUCCCUGAUGAAGCAGAUUAUAAACAAAGGCAUUCCAGCUGUGAUCAUUUCACUAUUUCUUCAGGAAGCUGCAUCAGUUCGUACAGACUACUCUUGUCAGAAGUGGAUCCAUGCUUCCUUUGAAGUGAGGAAAAUAAUAAUGGCAGACCCUCAGCUUACCCAAGAAAGGAAGAAGUAUGCUGUUAUUGUGAUUAUAAAAGCUGAGCAUGGUGAUUUAGAAAUAUGUCAAUUUUUAAAAGUUGCCAGAUCUUUCGUCUACAAAGUUUGCAAGGAGCUUGAGACUGAAGAUAGAAAUGUAUCACCAGUACCAAAGCAUAAAAAGCAUUCUAAACACUCUGAAAUCAUCAGAACACUUGAAUUUAUCCAGCAAGUUCAACAAACCAUUGAUUACAAUCCCAGAAAGCCCAUGAAGUUAAUUGCAAAAGAUCUCCAUGUGUCAAAAGGAACAGUCAGAAAUGUUGUCCACGAAGACAUCAGAUAUCAGUCUUAUAUGGUGAAGAAAGGUCAAUUUGUCAGGAAAAACAAAAGAAAAUCACACACACACACACACACACACAUACACAUCUAUUAGACUGGGAAUAUGAAUGAGGUAGUAUAACAAAAUGUUUCACCACGUUUAUAUUAUUGUGUGUCCUUGUCUUGCAAGCUACUUGGUGAUCCCAUAAGUGAUGGCACCAUAUAAAAGGCACCUGUGCUAGCGCCUUGUAAAUAGCACCCUUGCUGAUGCCACAUAAAUAGCAACUGUGCUGGGGCCACAUAAAAGGCGCCCAUGCCAGCACCAUGUAAAAAGCACCCAGUACACUCUGUAAAGUGGUUGGUGUUAGGCAGGGCAUCCAUCUGUAGAAACUAUGCCAAAACAGAUGACAAGAGCCAGCUCCUGUCAAAUCACCCAACCCAUGCCAGCAUGGAAAACGGGCAUUAAAUGAUGAUGAUGAUAAGAAUACUUAUGUCGGACUGUUUCCAUGUAAAAUCCGAUUUAUUUCUCAGGGCAUCUUAACUCAACAAUAUUAUGGUGAGAAUAACACUUCAUAACAAAUAUCAGAAUUAUAUAUUUUGCUGAUAAUCAGUGGCUGUGGUGGUUGUUUUCCAAAGAAUAAAUAAAUAAAAAUAAAAAAUAUAGAAAUAUAAAAAAAAAAACAUAAAAUUUUUUUUUUCAUAGAAUUGUGAAAUUAGGUUGAUUGAUAUUCUUGUGAAUUUCUAGGAAUAUUUUUUGAGAAAUUCUUUGCUUUUUAAAUAGAUUAUUUUGUGCAACAGCAUUAGUCUCCCAUAAAUAAAGCUUAGAUAGUUGGAGAGAGAGGAAAAGAAGAGAAAAAUUGAUUAGAAUUAUAAUCAAAAUAAGUAGAAGAAUAACAAAAAAAAAAUGGAGGAAGAAAAAUGAUGAAAAAUACAAGAAAAUGGGGAAAAGAAUAUAAAAAAAAGAGCAGAUAAAAAAGAGGAAAACUGAAAUAAAAGUUGAGACAGAAGUAAAAGGAAAAGUAGAGAAUAGAUAUGAGAAGAACAAAAGAGGAAGAAAUGUAUGUGUAGAGAAGUGUGAUGUAUUAACAGGAGAAAUUAUGAGAAGCCCUCAUAUUUGUAAUGCUGUGUUAGAUAUAUAAAAUUGAAGCUAUGAUUAAAUUUUUUUUUAUUAAAAAAAAAUGAAGGAAAGAUAGGACUGCAUAAAUGGGGAGAAAAAAAAAUUGCUUUUCAUGAAGUUGCAGGUAAUUAGCAUACAUUAAUGGUAUGCAAGAUAAGGUAGGAAUGACUGGGGAAGAGGGCGAUGAAGGGAAAGUAAUAGUCAGAAGUCAUUCUCUUCUUAUCACCCCUGCAGGGAGGUGGUGGCUGGUAAAGGCAGAGGUGCAAGUAUGUGCACGAACACAUACACACACACACACACACACACACAGGUAAACUUUUGUACAGGGUACACAACAGCUGUAAAGGAUAUAAUUAUAAAUAGAUCAUGUUGUGAAUCUUUCUCAAUUUACUUUUAUUUUAUAAGCAGAUGGAAGAAGAAGAAAGUAAAGAAGAAGAAGACGAAGAAGAAGAAGAAGAAAAAAUAUGAGAAAGCAGCAAGCAAACAUGUGUACAUAAAUAAAAUAAUAAUAAUAAUCAUAAUAAUAAUAAUUAUAAUAAUAAUAAUAAUAAUGAUGAUAAUAAUAAUAAUAAUAAAACAAUUGCCAUCAAAAAUGAAGAACAAACAAAGGAACAAUUGUUAUUCUUGUUUAAUACUAGUGUUUGUGGUGUUGAGUGGUGUAUAGAAAUAAAUAAGUGAAUAAACAAUAUGA